rnacentral:rRNA from 1 species
UUCGGCGGUCAUAGCGACGGGGGUACACCUCUUCCCAUUCCGAACAGAGCAGUUAAGCCCGUCAGCGCCGAUGGUACUCGGAGGGCAACCUCCCGGGAGAGUAGGUCGCCGCCGAAU